UGCGAAGGGGGCUAGCGUUACUCGGAAUUACUGGGCGUAAAGCGUGCGUAGGCGGUUUGUUAAGUCCGAUGUGAAAGCCCUGGGCUCAACCUGGGAAUUGCAGUGGAUACUGGCGAGCUAGAGUGCGGUAGAGGAUGGUGGAAUUCCCGGUGUAGCGGUGAAAUGCGUAGAGAUCGGGAGGAACACCCGUGGCGAAGGCGGCCAUCUGGACCAGCACUGACGCUGAGGCACGAAAGCGUGGGGAGCAAACAGG
rnacentral:rRNA from 1 species